GAUGAAGAACGUAGCGAAAUGCGAUACGUAAUGUGAAUUGCAGAAUUCAGUGAAUCAUCGAAUCUUUGAACGCACAUUGCGCCCGCUAGUAUUCUGGCGGGCAUGCCUGUCCGAGCGUCAUUUCAACCCAUCAAGCUUAGCGCUUGUGUUGGAGCCCUGCGGCCGCCGCAGCCUCCUAAAAUCAGUGGCGGGCUCGCUAUCAUGCUGAGUGCAGUAGUAUUCUUCUCACUCCUGUGGUGUAGCGGGUAACCAGCCGUAAACCCCCCCAUCUAUAAAGGUUGACCUCGGAUCAGGUAGGAAUACCCGCUGAACUUAAGCAUAUCAAUAAGCGGAGGA
rnacentral:misc_RNA from 1 species